GGCUCAUCCUACGUGGCCCAGAACUCAUCUGGUAUGGUUCAGCGCUCAUCCUACGUGGUCCAGCACAGCCCAGGGUUCAUCUGCCAUGGCCCGACGCUCAUCCAGUGUGGUCCAGCACAGCCCGAGGCUCCUCCACCACAUCCAAGGCUCCUCCAGCGUGAUGCAGGGUGGUCCAAGGCUCACCCAGUGCGGCCUGACGUGGCCCAAGGCUCACCCGAUGUGGUCCAGUGCGGCCCCGCGCUCACCCGCUGUGGUUCAGCACAACCCAAGGCUUGUCCAACGCGGCCUGGGCCUCAUCCUGUGUGGUCCCGCGAGGCCCGAGGCUUGUCCGACACGGCUCAAGUUGGGCCAGUGCAGCCCCAAACCAACCGAGGCUCACACGAGAUGGCCCAAAGCUCCCGUGAGGUGGCCCAAGGCUCAUCCAGCGUGGCCCAAACCAUCUCAAGGCUCAUCCAGCGUGGCCCAAAGCUCAUCCAACAUGGCCCAAGGCCCAUCCGACGUGGCCCAAACCACCUCAAGGCCCAUCCAACAUGGCCCAAACCACCUCAAGGCCCAUCCAACAUGGCCGAAGACUCAUCCAACGUGGCCCAAGACCCAGCCAACGUGGCCCAAACCACCUCGAGGCUCAUCCAACGUGGCCCAAGGCCCAUCCAACGUGGCCCAAGACUCAUCCAACGUGGCCCAAACAAUCCCAAGGCUCAUCGAGCACAGCCCAAGCCGUUACCCAGCGCAUUCUGAACCACCCCAAGGCUCACACGAGGUGGCCCAACACUCCCCCAACACAACCUGAACCAUCCCAAGGCUCACGCCAGGUGGCCCAAAGCUCCCACAAGGUGGCCCGAGGCUCACCCAACGCAUUCCAAACCAUUCCAAGGCUCGCCCACCCUGGCCCGACGCAUCCCAGGACCCGUCCUGCGCCCCGAGGCCCCCUCCAGCAGCACCCAACGCUUGUCCGACCUCCCCGGGACUGACCCUAAAUCGGGGCCGUUUCCCUCAAAUCGCACCGCGAGCGAGCACCGGAACAGGAAAACCUUCGAGGGCGCCCGGCCGCCCGCUCGGCGCUGCCUUUUUGCCGGGAACCCCCACAUUUCUCCCCGUUUCCAGGAAUUCUGGCAUUAAGCACUUACCGGAGGGGAGCUGGGGGGACCCC
rnacentral:lncRNA from 1 species